rnacentral:rRNA from 1 species
AAUCAACGCUGGCGGCGUGCCUAACACAUGCAAGUCGAACGAGAAAGUGGAGCAAUCCAUGAGUAAAGUGGCGCACGGGUGAGUAACACGUGACUAACCUACCCAGGAGUGGGGGAUAACUGAGGGAAACCGUUAGCUAAUAACCGCAUAACACCUACGGGUCAAAGGAAGCAAUUCGCUUCUGGAGGGGGUCGCGGCCGAUUAGUUAGUUGGC